CUGAAUAUUAUGACAACAGGUGCCUCUUUUGAGAGGAGAAUAGGGAAUCAGGUGCAAAUCCUGAGCGGUCCCGCCACUGUAAUCGGGGAGCAACUACCAAUAUGCCACUGGCUACUAUUGCUGGGAAGGCGGUAGCAUUGUUAUGAUCCGAGAGCCAGGAGACCUGCCUGUUGUUAUAGCAGAUA
rnacentral:ncRNA from 2 species